UUUUUCUAGAAAUUAUUACAAAUAAAACCUGCUCCAUGAAAUUUUAAAUAGCCGCAGAAAAUUAACUGUGCUAAGGUAGCAUAAUCAUUAGUCUUUUAAUUAAAGACCAGAAUGAAUGGUUAAACAAUUAAUUAUCUUUUUUUAUUUAUAAUAUUUAAACUAAAUUAACAAUAAAAAUGUUGUUAUUCUAAAAAUAGACGACAAGACCCUAACAAACUUAACUUUAGUUAAGCUGGGGCAGCUUAUUAAUUAUAAUUUUAAUUAAAUAUAAAUAAUAACCUAUAAAAUUGAUUUUCUUAAAGUUACUGUAGGGAUAACAGCGUAAUAUUCUUUUAAAGCUCUUAUUUAAAAGAAAUGCUUACGACCUCGAUGUUGAAUUAAUUUCCUUUAUUAAUGCAAAAACUUUAAAAGGGGGUCUGUUCGACCCUAAAACAAUUACA
rnacentral:rRNA from 1 species